UACAGAGGUCUCAAGCGUUGUUCGGAUUCAUUGGGCGUAAAGGGUGCGUAGGUGGCGCCAUAAGUCGGGUGUGAAAUCUCGGGGCUUAACUCCGAAACUGCAUUCGAUACUGUGGUGCUUGAGGACUGGAGAGGAGACUGGAAUUUACGGUGUAGCGGUGAAAUGCGUAGAUAUCGUAAGGAAGACCAGUGGCGAAGGCGGGUCUCUGGACAGUUCCUGACGCUGAGGCACGAAGGUCAGGGGAGCAAACGGG
rnacentral:rRNA from 1 species